CUUUGUCUCUGCAGAGGUGGGUUCCAGUCGCCGGCUGCGGGAGUGCGGGGUCCGCAGCGGCCUCCGCUUCCGCCCGGCGCCCAACUUGGCCCCAUGGCCGCUUCGCUCGGGCCGCGCCGCUGCCGCCCCCGGAGCCGGUGGGGAGCCGUGCGGGCGGGAGAGCCCGGAAGGAGCCCCGGGCUCCCAGGCCCCCGCCGGCGCCGACAGCGCCGGCCAGGAGCAGCCGGCCUGCUCCGGGUGACCGCCGCCGCCGCGCGGUCCCGGCACGAGCGGGUCCCUGCCUCCCGGAGCGCGCGUAGACCGGCAGCGCCUAAUGGAUUACAGCAGCCGCCCGGCCGACCGCCGCCUCCAGCUCGGCCGCCUCCGGGUUCGGGACCAUGAGACACCGCCGCUUGCGCUGGCCCUGGCCCAGGGCAGCUGGA
rnacentral:lncRNA from 1 species